rnacentral:rRNA from 1 species
AAAUGAAUUGACGGGGGUCCGCACAAGCGGUGGAACAUGUGGUUUAAUUCGAUAUUACGCGAGGAACCUUACCUGGGCUUGACAUGUUUUUGACAGCUGUGGAAACACAGUCUUCCGAGCUUGCUCGGACAGAAUCACAGGUGCUGCAUGGUUGUCGUCAGCUCGUGUCGUGAGAUGUUUGGUUAAGUCCUCUAACGAGCGCAACUCUUGUCGUCAGUUGCUAUCACUUUUAGUGAGCACUCUGGCGAGACUGCCCGGGAAACCGGGAGGAAGGUGGGAAUGACGUCAAAUCAUCAUGGUCCUUAUGCCCAGGGCUACACACGUGUUACAAUGGCCAGUACAGAGGGUUGCUAUCCCGCGAGGGUGUGCUAAUCUCAUAAAGCUGGUCUAAGUUCGGAUUGGGGUCUGCAACUCGACCCCAUGAAGUUGAAAUCGCUAGUAAUCGCGCAUCAGAUACGGCGCGGUGAAUACGUUCUCGGACCUUGUACACACCGCCCGU